AGGGUUUGAUCAUGGCUCAGAACGUACGCUGGCGGCACGCCUAACACAUGCAAGUCGAACGAAGUAGCAAUACUUAGUGGCAGACGGGUGAGUAACAUGUAGGUAUCUGCCCUUUGGCCUGGAAUAACACGAGGAAACUUGUGCUAAUACCGGAUAAGUCUUUACGGAGAAAGCUUUAUGCACCAUUGGAUGAGCCUGCACUUGAUUAGUUUGUUGGUGGGGUAAUGGCCUACCAAGACUGUGAUCAAUAGCUGAUUUGAGAGGAUGAUCAGCCACAUUGGGACUGAGACACGGCCCAAACUCCUACGGGAGGCAGCAGUGGGGAAUCUUGCACAAUGGAGGAAACUCUGAUGCAGCGAUGCCGCGUGAGUGAAGAAGGCCCUUGGGUUGUAAAGCUCUUUCGUCGGGGAAGAAAAUGACUGUACCCGAAUAAGAAGGUCCGGCUAACUUCGUGCCAGCAGCCGCGGUAAUACGAAGGGACCUAGCGUAGUUCGGAAUUACUGGGCUUAAAGAGUUCGUAGGUGGUUGAAAAAGUUAGUGGUGAAAUCCCAGAGCUUAACUCUGGAACUGCCAUUAAAACUUUUCAGCUAGAGUAUGAUAGAGGAAAGCAGAAUUUCUAGUGUAGAGGUGAAAUUCGUAGAUAUUAGAAAGAAUACCAAUUGCGAAGGCAGCUUUCUGGAUCAUUACUGACACUGAGGAACGAAAGCAUGGGUAGCGAAGAGGAUUAGAUACCCUCGUAGUCCAUGCCGUAAACGAUGUGUGUUAGACGUUGGAAAUUUAUUUUCAGUGUCGCAGGGAAACCGAUAAACACACCGCCUGGGGAGUACGACCGCAAGGUUAAAACUCAAAUGAAUUGACGGGGACCCGCACAAGUAGUGGAGCAUGUGGUUUAAUUCGAAGAUACGCGCAGAACCUUACCAACACUUGACAUGUUCGUCGCGACUCUAAGAGAUUAGAGUUUUCGGUUCGGCCGGACGAAACACAGGUGCUGCAUGGCUGUCGUCAGCUCGUGUCGUGAGAUGUUGGGUUAAGUCCCGCAACGAGCGCAACCCUCACUUUUAGUUGCCAUCAUUUAGUUGGGCACUCUGAAAGAACUGCCAGUGAUAAGCUGGAGGAAGGUGGGGAUGACGUCAAGUCCUCAUGGCCCUUACGUGUUGGGCUACACACGUGCUACAAUGGUAUCUACAACAGGAAGCAAGACUGCGAAGUUAAGCAAAUCCCUAAAAGAUACCUCAGUUCGGAUUGCACUCUGCAACUCGAGUGCAUGAAGCUGGAAUUACUAGUAAUCGUGGAUCAGCGUGCCACGGUGAAUGCGUUCCCGGGUCUUGUACACACCGCCCGUCACACCAUGGGAGUUGGUUCUACCUUAAGGCAAGGUUUCAAACCCUUGACCACGGUAUAGUCAGCGACUGGGGUGAAGUCGUAACAAGGUAGCCGUA
rnacentral:rRNA from 1 species